rnacentral:sRNA from 1 species
GCCAGGUGUGGUGGCGGGUGCCUGUAAUCCCAGCUACUUGGGAGGCUGAGGCAGGAGGAUUGCUUGAACCCAGGAGGCAGAGGUUGCAGUGAGCUGAGAUGCAGUGGAGUUCCACUGAACUCCAGCCUGGGUGAUAGAGUGAGACUCUGUCUCAA